CCUUCUAUAAAACUUCAUCUGAAGUAAUGAAAGUUGUUAGACUCAUAUCUCUUCUAGUGUUUUUCAGCUACACUAAAUGUCAAACUCUUCUGGGAAGUUUCCUAGAUGCAGGUAGGAAAUCCUAUUUACAGUCUAUGAAUUCUGCAUGCCAGGUGUAAGACUCAAUGAUUACUGAAGUGCAUAUGGAAAGAUUUAUCUUUCCCAGUGUGGAUCACUGACAAUAGGGUCAUUGAAAAUUGCUGGACAUUAACUUGUGGAAUGAAUAAAGGAAGAGAGCUAAUAUAUUGAGACAACCCACAGGAAGAGCUCACUCUAGCCUUAAUUUCACUGUAGCCAUACAGCACACUAAUAGCCAGAAUUAUCUGGAGGAGAACUUAAGAGACACAAACCCACUUAUGAAGAAGUACAGACUGUAGUUAAAGAGUUGCUAGGUUUUGUGGAGAAGUGCAAGAAUCUCAACCUACAUGAGCCACCUUCAGAAUGCUCUCACCAGCUGAUGACUACCUUCUUAGAGUGCAUUUGUAAUGACCAAGGAAUGGCUGACAAACAUGUUCUUUCUGACUAUUGCAAGACGAAUAACACAGCAAGACACAAUUCUUCCAAUUAAGUAAAAAAGAUGAUGCAGAUUACAGGGACACCUUCCAAAUUCCAAAUCCUGAGCAGAUCUGUGAGAUGAGCAAGGAGAACCCAGUGUCAGUGAGAAAGAUUUAUAGGUACAUUUAUGAAACUUCUAGAAAGCACCCAUUCUUGUAUGGACCCACUAUUCUGACCAUGUCUAUGUGCUAUGAAACAGCCAGUCUUGUUGCCAAGAAGAAAAUAAGACUGAGUGCUUCCUGAUAAAGCUAGACCCCAUCAGAAAAUACAUUGGAGAUAUAUCUUUGAGGCAUCACCAUUUAUGUGAAAUUGGGAUUAAAUUCAACUGCAAAUUACCAAAAGCAGUAAAGAGAUGUUCCAAAGAGCGGUUCAUGAAAGCCACGGGCAUGUUAAAAAUCACUGUGAUUUACGUGAGAAAGUAGGAGAUAGUAACUUCCACAACAGGCUGAACUAAUUCCUGGAGCUUUAUGCAGAAGACAUGAGGCACAGCCUGUCAACACUGGUGUGGGUCACUGUUGUGAUGACUCUUAUGCCUUCCGGAAGGUAUGAUUUGACGAUCUGCAAGUCGAUGGAACUUACAUUUCUCCACCUUUGUCCUGUGACCAAGUUAUCAGCUUUCAAGAGGACUUGUGCAAAGCUCAGGAGGAGGAAUUCCAAACUAAAAAGCCAAAGUAAGAAUCUUUGUUGAAUUUGUUUUUUAUUGCUAGAAAAAGAGCGGGUAUAGAGAACCAUAAAGUGGGCACAGAUACAUGUACUGCAUAAUGGAUGGAGUAGCUAAAUGUCAUGCUGGAGGUCAAGUAGCACUGAGAAUAUCAUGCAAUUUUGCAAUCGUGGCUAUUGCGGGUGCUACUGCAACUGGAUCAGGUAUUGAGUUUGAAAUCUGUUGAUCAGAAAAUACUGACAGAGAAGUACAUUAAUAUAUUUUUUCCUAAAAUGUGAACUUUGGACAUUAGUUUGAUAAGGGGUCUGGUACGAAUAGGGUUUCAUGAUCAAAUAAGUUUGGGAAUGCUAUAUUUCCUUGCUCUUCUCAUAAUGUAUAUUGUCCAUUACCAAGGAAGUCAAAGUCCUGCAAUAAUCUCUUUAGCUUGUUCUAGCUUAGCACCAUCUGGGCCAUAGAAACUACUAAGAUUCUUCAGGACCAGAAUGCUGAGAAAGUGCUUUGGAACAUUUCAUUACAGUGAUGUGUAUCACUUUAUAGUAUGUAAUUACUUUUGCUACUACUUCCACUGUUAUUAGGAAUGACUAUUUUAUAUAUUUGGAAGAAUGGUUGGGGGAUGAUUACUAGUAGGUGGCAGCUGGGUGAUAUUGUAAUAAUGCCUGUGAAUUCAAUUCCUUGAAUCCUAAUCUCCUUCUCCUCCUGAUCCCCUAGCCCCUGUGAUGCAGUUUCUUGCACUAGAUAAGGCUUUGCAAUAACAUCUCAGAAUAUAAGAAAAUAGGAUAUCAUUAGAAACUCAAAAUACUGGAAAUAAAUACUUAAAUGCCAUAUAUAAUCCUUCUAAAACACAUUGCACAUUUCCUGCUGAAUAUUUCCAGUGCUGGGAAGACUGUUUGCUUAAAGCAGCCUAUUUUUAUCUUUACAUAUGCUUAACUAGUUCACCUUUUUUUAUUAAAUAGGAAUCUAUGUCAUUGCCUCUUCCACUCAAUUUCUACUUCUGGAACUAUAGAGAGAAAUACUUUAUGGACGUUCCAUGAGCUGAGUGAGGCUAGAUCCCUAUUAUUUGACUGCAAACUGAGGGUGAGGUAUGACUGUUAUACUCUUAAUCUGAAGUUGGGCUUCCUGGGGAAGGUGAGAGGAAUGGUGUGCAAUGUUUUCUGAGCUUAUAUACGACCCUGGCAAGGCAUGUCUGUGUGUGUGUGUGUAUUAUGUAUAUGAUAUAAACAUGUAUAAUGCAUACAGAAACAUUUUUAAAUUAGAAAAUUUUAUCAAUAUAAGUUAUUUACAAAGUGCUGUUCUGAUUCAAUAGCUGUUACUGAUACUGAAGCCUGCUGAUCAGAAAUGUUGACAGCAGAAUACCAUGUCUUUAUAUUUGAUCAGAGUUCCCCAGUAUGUGUUCUAUGUAAAAAGGGUUUCCUCAUAAAGUCAGCAACAGGAUUCAGUCCAGUGCUCUUUUCUAUUCUUGCUUUCAUAGCAUGUAUUACAAUAUUUCAUCAUUCCACCAUGUUGCCAACCCUCUUGCCCUCCUGCUAUUGCAUCCCAUUGCCAAAUUUCUUUCCCUUCACCUUUGCUCAUGUAAUAUGUUAGUAUUGCUUCAAAACAAAUGAACCAAAAUGUAGUAACUUAACACAGCAUCAGUUAUUAUUGUUCAAGCAUCUGUGGGUUGAUUGGAUGAGUCUGGUGACCUGAACCAGCCUUAACCAUUCUCAGUGGCAUUGCUCAAGAGUGUAUGGUCAGCGGCUAAAUUAGCUGAGAGCUGGCAGCCUCGGCGAGCAUGGCUUGUCUCUGCUCCAGGUGGCACUCUCUAGCAAGCUAACCCAGGCUUCUAUACACAGUAGCUGGGAAAAGAAGGGGAAGUGUGGAGACCUCAUGGGGCCCAGGUUUAGAACUGUAUAAUGUCAGCUCUGCUGUGAGGCAGGUGAUAGGGCCAGCCCAGACUGAAGGAGUGUGGAAAAGACUUUACCUCUUGAUUAGAAGAAUGGGAAAGUCAUGUUGUAUAGGAUAUGGACACAGAGAAAGGUGGACAAUUGGGUCUAUGUUUGUAAUCAAUCUGCCAUGUGUGAAUCAUUAAUGUAGUUGGUGAUGAAUGUCAGGGUGAAUGUCAGGAUAGGAUGAGAAGUGAGGCAAUUAACUAGGUCUGAGGCCAUCACAAAUGAGGGGCAUGACCAAGCUUCUUACACAUGAUAGGAAUAAAUAGCAAUCAGAUGUUAGAAUUUGAAGACAUACUUUGAAGGAACUAUGACUUUUAAAAGAGGAUGAAGGAGAGAUGUGUUGGAAGCAGUAAGAGAACUAGGUGGUAUGAUAAGGUAAGUAGAGCUCAAGCAAAGAUAGCUUCCUCUUGACAGGCCUUAGGGAAGCCGUGUUCUCUGAGGAGCCAUGUUUUCAUAUGGGACAAGAGAGAGAAGUUAAGAGAAGAGGCUAUAAAUAUAGGGAAGGUUUCUGGUGAGAAAGCCUCAAGUUACAAAGGAGACAUAGGAUGAGUUAGGGUGGACUGGGAGAGCAGGAGAAGGGUCAGAUUAGGGAUAUAGAAACAUCGGUAUGAUGACAGAUGAGCUGGGAGACUUAGAUUGUUGACUGAGGCAUGACCAGCUUGGCCUUGGAAGUAGCACAUGCAGCACACACAACCCUAGGCCAGCUGUUCUUGCCCUUGUUUACUGACAACUCACAGAAUGUGGACAUUUCCCCCAACUCCCCCUAUGACAUCCACAUGGAUGGAUUAAAUGAACACUAUCAGUCUUAGAAAAGAGGCUGCUGCAGACAAAGAAAUGUCCUUCUUAGUGGCAUUAAUCACCUCCAUCCUGUUACAGGGUGCAGCCAAGAGGGGGGACCCCAAAUGGGCAUUUGAAAUGGGGUCCAGAACUUAAGGUGUCCAGGAGAUUUUAAGAUGUCUCCAAAC